AGUGAACGCUGGCGGUAGGCCUAACACAUGCAAGUCGAACGGCAGCACAGUAAGAGCUUGCUCUUACGGGUGGCGAGUGGCGGACGGGUGAGGAAUACAUCGGAAUCUACUUUUUCGUGGGGGAUAACGUAGGGAAACUUACGCUAAUACCGCAUACGACCUACGGGUGAAAGCAGGGGAUCUUCGGACCUUGCGCGAUUGAAUGAGCCGAUGUCGGAUUAGCUAGUUGGCGGGGUAAAGGCCCACCAAGGCGACGAUCCGUAGCUGGUCUGAGAGGAUGAUUAGGCAAAACUGGAAUGAGAACAGGGCCCGGCUUCCAAGGGAGGCCACAGUGGGGAAAUUUGGAACAAUGGGCGCAGGCUGGACCCGGCAUAACGGGUGGGUGGAGGAAGGCUUUGGGUUUUAAAACCCUUUUGUUGGGAAAAAAAAGGAACAAGUUAAAAACCCCGUGUUUCGGAGGUACCCAAAGAAUAAGCACCGGCUAACUUCGUG
rnacentral:rRNA from 1 species